rnacentral:rRNA from 1 species
AUGACAAUAUCCAAGGCAAUGAUCAUGUAUAUAUGCAUCACGUCCAAGAUUAAUCUUCAUGAAGAAUGCUUGCCUAUUCAAGUCUGCAAUACAAAUGUCUGCCAAAACUUAUGCAGACACGACGGCAACCGUUGGCUCAGGGCCUACUGCAGGACUGGACCAGGCGAUCUGAAAAUAUGUUGUUGCGCUUAUUCCUGA